ACCCAGGUAGUCACCAUGGUAAAUAUCAAAAUUUUGCGGGGUUUUCCUUAUACUUUGCUAGAUUUCCUUACACUUAUUUUGUGCUUAAUAUUGGUUUUGAAAUAUAUACUGAGGGCUAAAAUUACGAGGAACAUCAUAAUCUUCCUAUUGCUUAGGCCUCUAAAGUUCUUUUCUGUUUUUUUUUAUAAAUUUAUUUAUUUAUUAUUUAUUUUUGGCUGCGUUGGGUCUUCGUUGCUGUGCGCAGGCUUUCUCUAGUUGUGGCGAGCAGGGGAUACUCUUGGUUGUGGUGCGUGGGCUUCUCGUUCCGGUGGCUUCUCUUGUUGUGGAGCAUAGGCUCUAGGCGCGUGGGCUUCAGUAGUUGUGGCACGUGGGCUCAGUAGCCGUGGCUCGCAGGCUCUAGAGCGCAGGCUCAGUAGUUGUGGCGCAUGGGCUUAGUUGCUCCGCGGCAUGGGGAUAAAUAAGGAGUUUGGGAUUAGCAGAUACAAACUACUAUAUAUAAAACAGAUACACAGGGUACUUCCCUGGUGGUCCAGUGGUUGAGAAUCUGCCUUCCAAUGCAGGGGACACGGGUUCGAUCCCUGGUUGGGGAACUAAUAAUAUUCCAGAGGCCGCGGGUUAACUAAGCCCGUGUGGUGCAACUACUGAGCCCGCGCACUCUGGAGCCCAUGCGCCACAACUAGAGAGAAGCUCGCAUGCCACAAUGAAAAGCCCACUCACCGCAACGAAAGCUCCUGCCACAACUUAAACCUGACGCAGCCAAAUUUAAAAACAAACAAACAAACAGAUAAACAACACGGUCCUACUGUAUAGCACACGGAACUAUACUCAGUAUCCUGUAAUAAACCAUAAUGGAAAAGAAAAAGAAAAACAACUAUAAUGGGAUUCCUCAAGAAGUGAUGAGCUUCCCAGCAAUGGAAGUAUUCAAAAAUAAUUUAAAUCAGCUGUCCCCAACCUUUUUGGCACCAGGGACCAGUUUCACGGAAGACAAUUUUUCCACGAAAGGAAGGUGGCAGGGGGAUAGUUCAGGCGGUAAUGCGAGUGAUGGUGAGCAGCAGAUGAAGGUUCACUCGCUUGCUUGCCCGCUGCUCACCUCCUGCUGUGCAGCCCGGUUCCUAACAGGUCGCGGACUGGUACCAGUCCGCAGCCUGGGGGUUGGGGACCCCUGAUUUAAAUGAUCAUCUGUCAGGGGACUAUAUAAAGCAAUUCUGUAACUGAACGGAAGUCUGGAGACAAGGAGAUUGAUUGUAUUACCUCAAAGGCCCUUUCCAAUUCCAAGUGUCUGUCAUUCUAUUAAAUAAAAUGCAAACAAAUAAACAAAACAAAAACCACUAAUAAAUAACUAAAGAGUUUUCCCUCUGCAUUUUUUUUCAAGCUACGACCAAGAAGCCAGUACAGCUUAGUGGGUUUGAUACCACUUUCCACUUAAGUAAAUGUGGACAAAUUACUUAACUCUAUUUGCCUCACUCUUAUUGUCUGUAAAUUUAGAACAAUAAUAGUACCCAUCUCAUAAGAUUACUAUGAAGAUUAAAUAAUAUGAUACUUUAUAAAGUACUUAAAACAGUGCCUAACAAAGAAAGUGUAUACAACUAGCAGGUAGCUGUGGUGAAUGGGAGUGGGGGUGGAAAGUGAAACCUAAAUGUGCUGCUUGUUUUAGUUAUCUGUUCCCAACCUUCAACCAAAGCAUUCCUGGCUGCUGCUGGCCAGAGGCUAGGUUCCCUUGGCAACCAGCCUCAAAAAAGAGCCCAGAUCUACCUUCUUCAGGAAGGCAGCUCAUUCUCUGCCCUGAAAUCUAUCAUCUUCCUUUGCACAAAGCAGGCUCCCUAAAACCUCACAAAUACCAAUGCUCCAGAUCAAGGAGCUGAGCAGGUAUUAUCCUCGUCACUUCAUAUGAUCAAUUACAGAAUAUCAGAGUUAGAAGGACCAUCUCAGAGACCAUGUAGAGCGACCCCUUUGUUUAAUAAACAAGGACAACAGGCUGAGAAAAGUGAAGUCCUAGAUGUGGCAAGUUGGUGGCAGGGUCAAGACAAGAUCGCAGGCCUCCUCAUUCCUAGCCCAGUAAAGUUUUCCAAUUUUUCAGUAGGACUGGCCCUCCUAAGUCCCAUGCUACUGACCCCCACUACGUACUUUACACAGGUGAAAGAGAAAUAGAAGCAGUAGAGUGCAGAGGUUAAGAGCAUGGACUCUGGAGCCAGACUGCUUAUUCAAAUCCCAGCUCUACCACUUACAGUGACUUUAAGCAAGUUUCCUAACCUCUCUGUUUCUAUAAAAUAGGGAUAAGAGUUACUACCUUAUAGUUAUUUUAAGGAUAUGAUGAGAUAAUCCAUGUAAAAUGCAUGGCACACAGAAAGUGCUCAAUGUGUAUACUGCUUCCUGUUUCUCAUCAUUACUAGUUGCAUUAAGAAGAAACAAUCAUAAUAACAAAUGAGACCAGACAAGCCCCUACUUCUGGUCCAAAGAGCACUGGGAAGAACAAGCAUAUUUGUUUAGCUCCAUUUCCUGGUCCUGGCCAGGAACACCCAAUCCCUAGCAGGGGAAGACUACAACUAACCCAUCACUCAUUCAUUUCUUUGGAUCCAGGAAAGAGUCAACUCAGAGAAUAACCAAGUACAUGCUAUAGUGAUAAGAUAUUUAAGAUCACAAAUAAAGAUUAGGGAGGUCCAAACCCAAAAUGCAAUUCUUGUGGGUCCAGUCUCCUCCUCUUAACCCACGACGGGUGGUAUAGUGUAAAGGUUAAGAACAAGAGCUCUGGAGUUUGACGGCCUGAAAUGCAAAUUCCUGUUCCAUCAUUUAUUUGCUGU
ensembl:lncRNA